GGCCGAGCAGAUCCUGCGCGAGCCAGUCCGCGACGCCCAGAUCCGCCUCUGGCAGCCCAACGAUGAGCUGCGCUGUCCGGACGGCUGGAGUCGUAGCGGCAGCCGCUGCUACAGCAGCCCCACCGCACCGAACACGUUCGCCCGCGUGCAGGCGCAAUGUGCCAGCCGCCACCCGCAGGGCACCGUGGCGCUGCUGCGCUCCGUCGAGGAGAACGACAGGGCCUUCUUCGCCGCCGGCUCGCUGCCGAUGUGGGUCGACUA